rnacentral:rRNA from 1 species
AACGAACGCUGGCGGCAGGCUUAACACAUGCAAGUCGAGCGCCCCGCAAGGGGAGCGGCAGACGGGUGAGUAACGCGUGGGAAUCUACCCAAUACUACGGAAUAGCUCCGGGAAACUGGAAUUAAUACCGUAUGUGCCCUACGGGGGAAAGAUUUAUCGGUAUUGGAUGAGCCCGCGUUGGAUUAGCUAGUUGGUGAGGUAAUGGCUCACCAAGGCGACGAUCCAUAGCUGGUCUGAGAGGAUGAUCAGCCACACUGGGACUGAGACACGGCCCAGACUCCUACGGGAGGCAGCAGUGGGGAAUAUUGGACAAUGGGCGAAAGCCUGAUCCAGCCAUGCCGCGUGAGUGAUGAAGGCCUUAGGGUUGUAAAGCUCUUUCAGGUGGGAAGAUAAUGACGGUACCACCAGAAGAAGCCCCGGCUAACUUCGUGCCAGCCGCCGCCGUAAAAC